AGGGAAUCUUCCACAAUGGACGCAAGUCUGAUGGAGCAACGCCGCGUGAGUGAAGAAGGUCUUCGGAUCGUAAAGCUCUGUUGUUGGUGAAGAAGGAUAGAGGCAGUAACUGGUCUUUAUUUGACGGUAAUCAACCAGAAAGUCACGGCUAACUACGUGCCAGCAGCCGCGGUAAUACGUAGGUGGCAAGCGUUGUCCGGAUUUAUUGGGCGUAAAGCGAGCGCAGGCGGAAUGAUAAGUCUGAUGUGAAAGCCCACGGCUCAACCGUGGAACUGCAUCGGAAACUGUCAUUCUUGAGUGCAGAAGAGGAGAGUGGAACUCCAUGUGUAGCGGUGGAAUGCGUAGAUAUAUGGAAGAACACCAGUGGCGAAGGCGGCUCUCUGGUCUGCAACUGACGCUGAGGCUCGAAAGCAUGGGUAGCGAACAGGAUUAGAAUACCCUGGUAGUCCAUGCCGUAAACGAUGAGCGCUAGGUGUUGGGGACUUUCCGGUCCUCAGUGCCGCAGCAAACGCAUUAAGCGCUCCGCCUGGGGAGUACGACCGCAAGGUUGAAAC
rnacentral:rRNA from 1 species